rnacentral:rRNA from 1 species
GCCGUAAACGAUGUCUACUUGGAGGUUGUGGCCUUGAGCCGUGGCUUUCGGAGCUAACGCGUUAAGUAGACCGCCUGGGGGAGUACGGUCGCAAGAUUAAAACUCAAAUGAAUUGACGGGGGCCCGCACAAGCGGUGGAGCAUGUGGUUUAAUUCGAUGCAACGCGAAGAACCUUACCUACUCUUGACAUCCAGAGAACUUUCCAGAGAUGGAUUGGUGCCUUCGGGAACUCUGAGACAGGUGCUGCAUGGCUGUCGUCAGCUCGUGUUGUGAAAUGUUGGGUUAAGUCCCGCAACGAGCGCAACCCUUAUCCUUGUUUGCCAGCACUUCGGGUGGGAACUCCAGGGAGACUGCCGGUGAUAAACCGGAGGAAGGUGGGGACGACGUCAAGUCAUCAUGGCCCUUACGAGUAGGGCUACACACGUGCUACAAUGGCGCAUACAGAGGGCAGCAAGCUAGCGAUAGUGAGCGAAUCCCAAAAAGUGCGUCGUAGUCCGGAUUGGAGUCUGCAACUCGACUCCAUGAAGUCGGAAUCGCUAGUAAUCGUGGAUCAGAAUGCCACGGUGAAUACGUUCCCGGGCCUUGUACACACCGCCCGUCACACCAUGGGAGUGGGCUGCAAAAGAAGUAGGUAGUUUAACCUUCGGGAG